rnacentral:lncRNA from 1 species
UACCUGAGAAUUUGGUUAACACCAUUUAAUUAAUAAAUAUAUCACCAAUCAUCAGAUAGUGUAGAGAAUCUUAACCGAAUAUAUCACAAAAAUAUUGUUUCACUGACAUUUAUUUGUUAAAUCAGUUCAGCUCUGUUCAGUUAAUCAGUUUUGGUGAUAUCUUUCCACCAUACUUAUCUUUUCCCCCCUUUAAUUAACUUAGAAACUACACUAGGAAUGUUUCGUUUGAUACCAGGAGCAUUUUGUUUCACAACCCCAUGCAAUACUUAAACGCUAUUGUAACACUAAGCUUAUAAAAAAACCCAUGAAACCGAAUUGUGCAUUGAAAUCUUGCCUUAUUUUCAUUUCCCCAUCCCACACCUCUUUAGCUGACAUAUAUCAGAGCUCUUAGAGACAGUAACAUGAAUGAACAUCCAUCCAAGGUGCUAAAGUUGCAACAGCAGCCAUCCAAACCUCUUGAAAAGUUUCACUAAUUGGUGCGAGGACUCCAAAAAAAAAAA